rnacentral:rRNA from 1 species
CUACGGGAGGCAGCAGUGGGGAAUAUUGCACAAUGGGGGAAACCCUGAUGCAGCGACGCCGCGUGGAGGAUGACGCAUUUCGGUGUGUAAACUCCUUUUAUAUAGGAAGAUAAUGACGGUACUAUAUGAAUAAGCACCGGCUAACUCCGUGCCAGCAGCCGCGGUAAUACGGAGGGUGCAAGCGUUACUCGGAAUCACUGGGCGUAAAGCGCGCGCAGGCGGCCCCUUAAGUUGGAUGUAAAAGCCUACGGCUUAACCGUAGAACUGCAUCCAAAACUGAGGGGCUAGAGUCUGGGAGGGGAAGAUGGAAUUAGUUGUGUAGGGGUAAAAUCCGUAGAGAUAACUAGGAAUACCAAAAGCGAAGGCGAUCUUCUGGAACAGUACUGACGCUGAGGCGCGAAAGCGUGGGGAGCAAACAGGAUUAGAUACCCCCGUAGUC